CGACCCCAGGUCAGGCGGGGCUACCCGCUGAGUUGAAGUAUAUCAAUAAGUAGAGGACAAGAAACUUACAAAGAUUCCCUUAGUAACAGCGAGCGAACCGGGAAGAGCCCAGCUUGAGAAUCAAGUGGCUUUAUCGUUUGAAUUGUAGUUUGUAGAAGCAUCCUCAGUAGCGGACCGGGCCCAAGUCCCCUGGAAGGGGGCACCGGAGAGGGUGAGAGCCCCUUCGUGUCUGGACCCUAUCAUCGAGUCAAGUUAUUUGGGAAUGCAGCCCCAAUUGGGCGGUAAAUUCCAUCCAAGGCUAAAUAUGGGUGAGAGACCGAUAGCGAACAAGUACAACGAGGGAAAGAUGAAAAGGACUUUAAAAAGAGAGUCAAAGAGUGCUUGAAAUAGUCGAGAAGGAAGCAGAUGGGGGUUGGCAAUGCUUCUCGUUCGAAUGCGAAACGGUAAAUAGCCGAUCCACUGCUCGACUCGGGGCGUGGACUGAUGUGGAUUGCGGCGGCGUCCCAAGCCCAGGUUAUUGUGUUAUGCCUGAGGAGAUGUCAUCGCCAUGAUCGUGGUAGGGAGCGUGCACCUCAAUAGUGUGCCUAUUGGCAACUGCAUGCUUAGCGAAUCGACGUGUCGGGCUCCCCAUUCGACCCAUCUUGAAACACGGACCAAGGAGUCUGACAUGUGUGCGAGUCAAUGGGCGAGUAAAACCCGUAAGACAUAAGGAAACUAACUGGUGGGAUCCCCUUGAAGGGUUCGAGUGAGAGCAUACUUGUCGGGGCCCAAAUGAUGGUGAACUAUGCCUAAGCGGGGCGAAGCCAGAGGAAACUCUGGUGGAGGCCCACAGCAAUACUAACGUGCAAAUCGUUCGUCUAAAUUGGGUAUAUGGGAAAAAGAUUAAUCGAACCAUUUAGUAGCUGGUUCCCUCUGAAGUUUUCCUCAGGAUAGCUAGAGCCCGCGAGAGAGUUCUAUCGAGUAAAGCCAAUGGUUAGAGGCAUCGGGGGCACAACGCCCUUAACCUAUUCUCAAACUUUAAAUAGAUAGGACGACGUGACUGCUUCGUUGAGCUGCACCAUGGAAUCGAGAGCUCCAAGUGGGCCAUUUUUGGUAAGCAAAAUUAGUAAUGUGGGAUGAAUCAAAAGUCGGGUUAUGGUGGUGGAUUGCCCGCUAACCUAGAACGCACAAAGGGUUUUGGUCGAUUAAGACAGUAGGUCGGUGGUCAUGGAAGUCGAAAUCCUCUAAGGAGUGUGUAACAACUCACCUACCGAAUCAACUAGCCCCAAAAAUGGAUGGCACUGAAGCACGCAACCUAAAGCCAGUUGUCAUGGAAACUGCCAGGCCUUGAUGAGUAGGAGGGUAUGAUGGUCACCGUAAAACCUAAGGCGUGGGCCCAGGCAGGGCAACCAUCAGUGUAGAUCCUGGUGGUAGUAGCAAACAUACAAAUGCAAACUUUGAAGGCCGAAGAGGGGAAAGGUUCCAUGUGAACGGUACUUACACAUGGGUUAGUCGAUCCUAAGGGAUGAGGGAAGCCCAUCAGAGAGCAUGUACGUGCGUAUGCUACGAAAGGGAAUAGGGUUAAAAUUCUCGAACCGGGACGUGGCGGUUGACGGCAACGUUAGGAAGUUCAAAGACAUCGACGGGGGCCUUGGGAAGAGUUAUCUUUUUUGUUUAACAUCCUGCCCACCCUAGAAGCGGCUCAAUCGGAGGUAGGGUCUAGUGGAUAGAAGAGCACCGCACGUCGUGUGGUGUCUGAUGCACCCCCGACGGCCCUUGAAAAUCCAGAGGAUCGAGUGCCAACCACGCCCGGUCAUACUCAUAAUCGCAUCAGGUCUCCAUGGUGAACAACCUCUGGUCGAUGGAACAAUAUAGGCAAGGGAAGUCGGCAAAAUGGAUCCGUAACCUUGGGAAAAGGAUUGGCUCUAAGGGCUGGGCACGGGAGUUCCAGUCCCUGCUUUGACGGCGAGAGCGGGUCACUGCGUGCCAAUCGGGGGACAGACUGGGAACGACCCCCUCGGGGGCCUUCCCUGGGUGUCGAACAGUCGACUCAGAACUGAUAUGGACAAGGGGAAUCUGAUUGUUUAAUUAAAACAAAGCAUUACGAUGGUCCCUGGGGAUGCUCAUGCAUUGUGAUUUCUACCCAGUCCUCUGAAUGUCAAAAUGAAGAAAUCCAACCAAGCGUGGGUAAACGGCGGGAGUAACUAUGACUCUCUUAAGGUAGCCAAAUGCCUCGUCAUCUACUUAGUGACGCGGAUGAAUGGAUUAACGAGAUUCCCACUAUCCCUGUCUACUAUCCAGCAAAACCACAGCCAAGGGAAUGGGCUUGGCAGAAUCAGCAAGGAAGGAAGACCCUAUUGAGCUUGACUCUAGUCCGACUUUGUGAAAUGACUUGGGAGGUGUAGGAUAAGUGGGAGCUGGAAACGGCGCAAUUGAAAUACCACUACUUUUAACGUUUAUUUACUUACUCCGUGAGUCAGAGGCGGGGCUCUGCCCCUCCUUUUGGACCCAAGGCCCGCCUCAACGGGGCUAUCUGGGCGGAGGACAUUGUCAGGUGGGGAGUUUGGCUGGGGUGGCACAUUUGUUAAAUGAUAACGCAGGUGUCUGAAGAUGAGCUCAAUGAGAACAGAAAUCUCAUGUGGAACAAAAGGGUAAAAUCUCGUUUGAUUUUGAUUUCCAAUAUGAAUACGAACUGUGAAAGCGUGGCCUAUUGGUCCUUUAGAACUUCGAAAUUUGAAGCUAGAGGUGUCAGAAAAGUUACCACAAGGAUAACUGGCUUGUGGCAGCCAUAUGUUCAUAGCGACGUUGCUUUUUGAUCCUUCGAUGUCAGCUCUUAGUAUCAUUACGAAGCAGAAUUCACAAAGUGUUGGAUGGUCCACCCACCAAUAGGGAACGUGAGCUAGGUUUAGACCGUCGUGAGAUAGGUUAGUUUUACCCUACUGAUGAUAGUGCCACGAUAGUAAUUCAACUUAGUAUGAUAGGAACUGUUGAUUCACACAAUUGGUCAUCACGCUUGGUUGAAAAGCCAGUGGCACGAAGCUGCCAUGUGCCAGAUUAUGACUGAAUGCCUCUAUGUCAGAAUCCAAGCUAAGGAAGCGACGCUUGUGCCUGUUGCCUGUUUGCCGACCAGCUGUAGGGGCCCUCCGGCCCCCAGAGGCACAUGUCGUUGGCCAAGCCCCUGUAGUGGACGUGUUGUGUGGGCUGCCUUGAAGUGUAAUUCCUGUCGGGUGAUGGGUAGAAUCCUUUGUAGAUGACUUAAAUACGCGACAGGGUAUUGUAAGUGGCAGAGUGGCCUUGCUACCAUGAUCCACUGAGAUUCAUCCCCGUGUCACAUCGAUUCAA